AGCCAGUUGGCCAGGUAUGCCAAAGCGAUUGCAAAUGAAUGAAUGCUGAUGUUCAAGUUGAUGGUGUUGGCUAAAACAAAAGUUUUGAGCACGGUUUAGUCGUGAGAUGGUAACUGAAUAGAACGGGUAACGUUACGGCAAAGCGUUGUAUAAAGAAAAGUUGCAAGAGAAAUAAUACAAAACAACAACAACGACGACGACGACGGCUAAAUAUAUAAAGAAAACAAAAACAAAACCAAGAAAAUACAAAAAAAAAAAACAACUAAAAUAACGCAAAUUGGGAAAGUGUAUACGGUUUUAUUUUGGAGACUUUUUCUUGCUGGACAACUUGACGUCUUGGAGCAGUAGCCAACA
rnacentral:sRNA from 1 species